rnacentral:ncRNA from 1 species
GAAAGUUGGGGGCUCGAAGACGAUCAGAUACCGUCCUAGUCUCAACCAUAAACGAUGCCGACUAGGGAUUGGCGGAUGUUACUUUGAUGACUCCGCCAGCACCUUAUGAGAAAUCAAAGUUUUUGGGU